rnacentral:rRNA from 1 species
AUUGAACGCUGGCGGCGUGCCUAAUACAUGCAAGUCGAACGCAGUGGGGACGGGUGAGUUACCCGUGGGUAACCUCCCCAUCAGAGGGGAUAACACUUGGAAACAGGUGCUAAAUCGAUAAUGCUGGAUGGACCCGCGGUGCAUUAGCUAGUUGGUGAGGUAACGGCUCUCCAAGGCCACGAUGCAUAGCCGACGUGGGAGGGUGGUGGGCCACACUGGGACUGAUACACGGCCCAGACUCCUACGGGAGGCAGCAGUAGAGAAUCUUCGGCAAUGGACGAAAGGCUGGCCGGGCAACGCCGCGUGAGUGAAGAAGGUUUUCAGAUCGUAAAACUCUGUUGUUAGAGAAGCGGUAUCUAACCAGAAAGCCACGGCUAACUACGUGCCAGCAGCCGCGGUAAUUC